ACUCCGUAGUUAAGCGCGCUUGGGCUAGAGUAGUACUGGGAUGGGUGACCUCCCGGGAAGUCCUAGUGUUGCACCCU
rnacentral:rRNA from 1 species